GUGGGGAAUAUUGGACAAUGGGCGCAAGCCUGAUCCAGCCAUGCCGCGUGAGUGAUGAAGGCCUUAGGGUCGUAAAGCUCUGUUGAAUGGGAAGAAAAAAAUGACGGUACCAUUCGAGGAAGGACCGGCUAACUUCGUGCCAGCAGCCGCGGUAAUACGAGGGGUCCUAGCGUUGUUCGGAAUCAUUGGGCGUAAAGGGUGUGUAGGUGGCCAUGUAAGUCAGGUGUGAAAGCCCCGGGCUCAACCCGGGAAGUGCACUUGAUACUGCGUGGCUUGAGUACCGAAGAGGGUAGUGGAAUUCCAGGUGUAGUGGUGAAAUACGUAGAUAUCUGGAGGAACACCGGUGGCGAAGGCGGCUACCUGGUCGAGUACUGACACUGAGACACGAAAGCAUGGGGAUCAAACAGGAUUAGAAACCCGGGUAGUCC
rnacentral:rRNA from 1 species